CCUACGGGUGGCAGCAGUGAGGAAUAUUGGUCAAUGGACGCAAGUCUGAACCAGCCAUGCCGCGUGCAGGAAGACGGCUCUAUGAGUUGUAAACUGCUUUUGUACGAGGGUAAAGGCAGAUACGCGUAUCUGUUUGAAAGUAUCUUACGAAUAAGGAUCGGCUAACUCCGUGCCAGCAGCCGCGGUAAUACGGAGGAUUCAAGCGUUAUCCGGAUUUAUUGGGUUUAAAGGGAGCGUAGGUGGGCGGAUAAGUUAGAUGUGAAAGCCCGCGGCUCAACUGCGGAAUUGCAUUUGAUACUGUUCGGCUCGAGAACAGUUGCGGUAGGCGGAAUGUGUGGUGUAGCGGUGAAAUGCUUAGAGAUCAUGAAGAACACCGAUUGCGAAGGCAGCUUACCAAGCUGCUUCUGACGUUGAGGCACGAAAGCGUGGGGAGCAAACAGGAUUAGAUACCCGAGUAGUC
rnacentral:rRNA from 1 species